GACGAACCGUGCGAACGUUGUUCGGAAUCACUGGGCUUAAAGGGCGCGUAGGCGGCUUGUCAAGUCAGGGGUGAAAUACUUCAGCUUAACUGGAGAAGUGCCCUUGAUACUGACAGGCUCGAGGGAGGUAGGGGUCUGUGGAACUUCUGGUGGAGCGGUGAAAUGCGUUGAUAUCAGAAGGAACGCCGGUGGCGAAAGCGACGGACUGGACCUCUUCUGACGCUGAGGCGCGAAAGCUAGGGGAGCAAACGGG
rnacentral:rRNA from 1 species